rnacentral:snRNA from 1 species
AUACUUACCUGGCAGGGGAGACACCUUCAUCAUGAAGGAGGUUUUCCCAGGGUGAGGUUCAGCCAUUGCACUCCAACUGUGCUGGCCCCUGCAAUUUUCCCAAAUGUGGGAAACUCAACUGCAUAAUUUGUGGUAGUGGGGGACUGAGUUGGAAGGGAACUCCAGGGUCAUNGAGUCCAACCCCCUG